rnacentral:rRNA from 1 species
AUUGAACGCUGGCGGCAUGCCUUACACAUGCAAGUCGAACGGUAACGCGAGGGCAACCCUGGCGACGAGUGGCGAACGGGUGAGUAAUACAUCGGAACGUACCUGGUAGUGGGGGAUAGCCCGGCGAAAGCCGGAUUAAUACCGCAUACGCACCACGGUGGAAAGCGGGGGACCGCAAGGCCUCGCGCUAUCAGAGCGGCCGAUGGCAGAUUAGCUAGUUGGUGGGGUAAAAGCCUACCAAGGCGACGAUCUGUAGCUGGUCUGAGAGGACGACCAGCCACACUGGGACUGGGACACGGCCCAGACUCCUACGGGAGGCAGCAGUGGGGAAUUUUGGACAAUGGGGGAAACCCUGAUCCAGCGAUGCCGCGUGUGUGAAGAAGGCCUUCGGGUUGUAAAGCACUUUUGUUCGGGAAGAAAUCUGUCGGGCUAAUACCCUGGCGGGAUGACGGUACCGGAAGAAUAAGCACCGGCUAACUACGUGCCAGCAGCCGCCGUAA